rnacentral:rRNA from 1 species
AGUGAACGCUGGCGGUAGGCCUAACACAUGCAAGUCGAACGGCAGCACAGUAAGAGCUUGCUCUUACGGGUGGCGAGUGGCGGACGGGUGAGGAAUACAUCGGAAUCUACUUUUUCGUGGGGGAUAACGUCGGGAAACUUACGCUAAUACCGCAUACGACCUACGGGUGAAAGCAGGGGAUCUUCGGACCUUGCGCGAUUGAAUGAGCCGAUGUCGGAUUAGCUAGUUGGCGGGGUAAAGGCCCACCAAGGCGACGAUCCGUAGCUGGUCUGAAAGGAUGAUCAGCCACACUGGAACUGAGACACGGUCCAGACUCCUACGGGAGGAAGCAGUGGGGAAUAUUGGGCAAGGGGCGCAAGCCUGAUCCAGCCAUACCGCGUGGGUGAAGAAGGCCUUCGGGUUGUAAAGCCCUUUUGUUGGGAAAGAAAAGCAGCAGGUUAAUACCCCGCUGUUCUGACGGUACCCAAAGAAUAAGCACCGGCUAACUUCGUG